rnacentral:rRNA from 1 species
GACCAACAGGGAUUGCCUCAGUAACGGCGAGUGAAGCGGCAAGAGCUCAACUUUGGAAUCGCUCCGGCGAGUUGUAGUCUGGAGGUGGCCACCACGAGGUGUUCUAGCAGCAGGCAAGUCCUUUGGAACAAGGCGCCAGCGAGGGUGACAGCCCCGUACCUGCUUUUGCUAGUGCUUCCUGUGGCCCACCGACGAGUCGAGUUGUUUGGGAAUGCAGCUCUAAGUGGGUGGUAAAUUCCAUCUAAGGCUAAAUAUUGGCGAGAGACCGAUAGCGAACAAGUACAGUGAUGGAAAGAUGAAAAGCACUUUGAAAAGAGAGUGAAACAGUACGUGAAAUUGUUGAAAGGGAAGGGCUUGCACCCAGACACGGUUUCGGCCGGGCCAGCAUCAAGUAGAACGGGGUUAAAAGACUUGGGGAAUGUAGCUACUUCGGUAGUGUUAUAGCCCUUGGUGAUGACCCCUGUUUUGCUUGAGGACAGCGGUCUCUAGGAUGCUGGCGCAAUGGUUGCAAGCCACCCGUCUUGAAACACGGACCAAGGAGUCUAACGUCUAUGCGAGUGUACGGGUGAAAAACCCCUGCGCGGAAUGAAAGUAAGAGGUUGGAACCCUCUCGGGGGUGCACAAUCGACCGACCCAGAAGUGCUCGGACGGGUUUGAGUAGGAGCAUAGCUGUUGGGACCCGAAAGAUGGUGAACUAUACCUGAAUAGGGUGAAGCCAGAGGAAACUCUGGUGGAGGCUCGUAGCGGUUCUGACGUGCAAAUCGAUCCUCGAAUUUGGGUAUAGGGGCGAAAGACUAAUCGAA